rnacentral:rRNA from 1 species
UAGGGAAUCUUGCACAAUGGGCGAAAGCCUGAUGCAGCAACGCCGCGUGAAGGAUGAAGGCCUUCGGGUUGUAAACUUCUGUUCUUAGGGAAGAAGAAAGUGACGGUACCUAAGGAGAAAGCCCCGGCUAACUACGUGCCAGCAGCCGCGGUAAUACGUAGGGGGCAAGCGUUAUCCGGAAUUAUUGGGCGUAAAGAGUGCGUAGGUGGUUAUCUAAGCGUAAGGUUUAAGCGUGCAGCUCAACUGCAUCUCGCCUUGCGAACUGGACUACUUGAGUGCAGGAGGGGAAAGCGGAAUUCCUAGUGUAGCGGUGAAAUGCGUAGAUAUUAGGAGGAACACCAGCGGCGAAGGCGGCUUUCUGGACUGUAACUGACACUGAGGCACGAAAGCGUGGGGAGCAAACAGGA